UCCCGCCGGCUUACAUCAAAUAAAGAACGUACUGGGUUUGUGUUGACAUGUACCUCAGACGCCAAUCCUCGUGCUUUUAUCUUCAAUUGGUUCUGUAAAAAUACAUUACUUUCGGACGGCAUCCGUAAUUUAUCACUCUCCAAGACUAUACCCGGAGGUGAAACGCUGACCUCUAGCGAAGUGGCGCUUCGAAACUCCCUGUCCGAAGAUCAGUGCGAAUACAAAUGCUCUGCUGUUUCAAGAUAUGGUUCCGGUAGUGCAGUAUUUAACUCAACAGUUUCCCCGUGUCUACUAGUAUUCAGAACUUAGAUAUUCUCCCAGUCGUUGGUGAGAAUAUAACACUUGCCUGCACCGUCACUACUCCAUCGACAUAUCGCCAACUGUCUUGGAUGGGCAGGAAUAACAAAAUCCUAGCUACAUGUCAAGAAACGGGAUGCAGAAACGAGCAAAAUGCCAGACCUAGAUUGAUAUCCAUCAUUGACGAUAAGCAUGAGGAUGGAUACAAGAAUGGAGCAUCAGUGAGUAUCACAUCUGGGCGAACCCACAAUCUAAUAUGUUCGGUCCAAGACGCUAGACCACCUGCAGAACUGGAAUGGCACGUUCCUAAAGAAGUAC